UCUGCAUUUUUACUCCGUUCACAAUUAAUCCUUGACGUUAAAUUUUGUUGCCGGGACAAACAGAAGUUGCCACAUAGACAACACUAGGAUGCCACGUGGCCUAAUCAAUGACAUGGGAUGCCACAUGUCAAAUAUUAUUUGAAUUAAAUUUUUAACUUUUUUAUUUAUUAAAUAAAACAAUAAAAAAUAAUCAAAAAAACAUGUAGUCUUCAUGUUCCUUCUCCUUCCUUCGCCUUCCUUCCUUCAAAAUCUGCAGAAAGAAAACCAUGAAAAUGCCUAAUUCCCCUUUACCCCCUUCCUUUCCAUUAAGUUCAAUCACAAUUUUUUUCCUUUGUUGUUGCUAUUUCAUAAACCCAUAAAAAUCACAAUGCAUGUUGCCUCUCACUUUUCCUCCUUCAACUUCCAAUUUCAAUUCAAUUUGCAAGAAAUCAAGAUAUUAAAAUCAAAAUCAAAAUUAAAUCUUCUUCGUUCCAUAUUUACUGGAAAAUCCAAUAUGCGAACCAAUCAAACGAGAAUAGAGGAACGAAAAUUGAAAGUGCUCUGAACAAAGUUUGCGGCGAAAGGGAUGGUGGCAAUUACAGAACGACGGUGACGCGCCGGACAAAAGGGUUGUUGGAGGGAGAUGGUUUGUGAUACGGGCAAUGAAACGAAUCUGAGAUGCUCUAAGGAGAGUUGGUGGCCAACAGUGGUGGUGGUUGGAGGAUGGUGAUGCACGGCGGAAAACAUAGUCAUUACCAAUCAGAGGCUGACAUGUGGCACAUAGUCAUUAAAAUAAAAUAAAAAAUAAAAAGCCAUUUUAAGUGAAAAAGAACCAAACGAGGUAUAAGCUUUCUCCUUCUUUCUCCCUUGCCUCUUCAACCCAAAAGCCGCCACCACCACCACCACUGGUUUUCUUCGUUGUCUGCUGCAAUAACCUUCAACCACCACCCCCCGCCUUGCCGUCGAACAUCAAUCUGUCACAGGGCGUCGGAGAUUCACAUCCAUCCUUCUCAAUCUCAUAUUCAAUGGAAUCCUUGUUGUUGAAUAAGAAUGUUUGCUUGUUAAGAUAAUUUUUGAAAGAAAAGAGGAGGUAAGGAAAGUUGCUUGAAAACCAUAGAUCAUAAUAAUUGGCCAGUGAGGAUUCAAAUAAUUAAAAUGAGAAACACAUUCAUUCUGUGGCUGGUUAGGAGGUGCAGAUGCUGUCAUGACAGUUUGGCUGCCCUUGCUGUGUUUAGCUCGGCUGCUGUCAUGACAGCACAUGUUUUGUUGGCCGAAGGUGCUGGUUUUGGGGCUUAUGUUUACUAAUUUCUGCCUCAUUGAAAAAUAUGAACAAGAUGAUCAAUUUAAUUUCAAGCUUAAGAUCACUAAGUAUUCAUAUGUUGUUUAGUGUUUACUUCAAUGCUUCUGCACACACUCAAAAGAGACAAAUAUCUUCAAUUUUGCUAGCCAUAUCAGUUUUAUAUGGAAU
rnacentral:lncRNA from 1 species